rnacentral:rRNA from 1 species
UGGGGAAUCUUCCGCAAUGGACGAAAGUCUGACGGAGCAACGCCGCGUGAACGAAGAAGGUCUUCGGAUUGUAAAGUUCUGUGAUUCGGGACGAAAGGGUUUGUGGUGAAUAAUCAUAGACAUUGACGGUACCGAAAAAGCAAGCCACGGCUAACUACGUGCCAGCAGCCGCGGUAAUACGUAGGUGGCAAGCGUUGUCCGGAAUUAUUGGGCGUAAAGCGCGCGCAGGCGGUUUCUUAAGUCCAUCUUAAAAGCGUGGGGCUCAACCCCAUGAGGGGAUGGAAACUGGGAAGCUGGAGUAUCGGAGAGGAAAGUGGAAUUCCUAGUGUAGCGGUGAAAUGCGUAGAGAUUAGGAAGAACACCGGUGGCGAAGGCGACUUCCUAGACGAAAACUGACGCUGAGGCGCGAAAGCGUGGGGAGCAAACAGGAUUAGAUACCCUGGUAGUCCACGCCGUNNCGAUGGAUACUAGGUGUAGGAGGUAUCGACCCCUCCUGUGCCGGAGUUAACGCAAUAAGUAUCCCGCCUGGGAAGUACGAUCGCAAGAUU